GAUGAACGCUGGCGGCGUGCCUAAUACAUGCAAGUCGAGCGAAUGGAUUGAGAGCUUGCUCUUAUGAAGUUAGCGGCGGACGGGUGAGUAACACGUGGGUAACCUGCCCAUAAGACUGGGAUAACUCCGGGAAACCGGGGCUAAUACCGGAUACCAUUUUGAACCGCAUGGUUCGAAAUUGAAAGGCGGCUUCGGCUGUCACUUAUGGAUGGGCCCGCGUCGCAUUAGCUAGUUGGUGAGGUAACGGCUCACCAAGGCAACGAUGCGUAGCCGACCUGAGAGGGUGAUCGGCCACACUGGGACUGAGACACGGCCCAGACUCCUACGGGAGGCAGCAGUAGGGAAUCUUCCGCAAUGGACGAAAGUCUGACGGAGCAACGCCGCGUGAGUGAUGAAGGCUUUCGGGUCGUAAAACUCUGUUGUUAGGGAAGAACAAGUGCUAGUUGAAUAAGCUGGCACCUUGACGGUACCUAACCAGAAAGCCACGGCUAACUACGUGCCAGCCGCCGCCGUAA
rnacentral:rRNA from 1 species